rnacentral:rRNA from 1 species
UGAGGAAUCUUGCGCAAUGGGGGAAACCCUGACGCAGCAACGCCGCGUGAGUGAGGAAGGACUUCGGGUCGUAAAGCUCUGUCAGAUGGGAAGAAAUGGGUGGGGGCUAAUAUCGUCCAUCCUUGACGGUACCAUCAGAGGAAGCACCGGCUAACUCCGUGCCAGCAGCCGCGGUAAUACGGGGGGUGCAAGCGUUGUUCGGAAUCAUUGGGCGUAAAGCGCGCGCAGGCGGCUUGGUAAGUCAGAUGUGAAAUCCCUGGGCAUAACCCAGGAAGUGCAUUUGAUACUGCUUCGCUAGAGUACGGGAGAGGAAAGUGGAAUUCCUGGUGUAGAGGUGAAAUUCGUAGAUAUCAGGAGGAACACCGGUGGCGAAGGCGACUUUCUGGCCCGAUACUGACGCUCAGGCGCGAAAGCGUGGGGAGCAAACA